CGACAAGUCUGAGAGCGAAGUGUGCGGCCUAAUGGCAGAGUGUGAAUCCAUGAUUGGCUCCUUGCUGAUCUUGAUUGAUUAAAGUGUCAAGCAAGAUUGAAAUCGACAAGGACGAGAGCGGAAGGUGAACAGGUACUUCAGCAUGUACUGGCUCUGCGGCCUGCAGUCAACACACAACACAGCGCUAAACUGAACUGGAGUAAACUGAACAUGCCUGGAAAAUUUCAAGGACUCUGCGAUUUGAUCUUUAGUAUUCUACGAAGGCAUGACAAGGGGAUUAAAUCACAUUCUGAGAGAGAUUGGCAAGGCAGAUGUGAAGAUACAAGAUGUCAGGAUCCUUUGGCUAAGAGGCG